rnacentral:rRNA from 1 species
UCGAGCGGACAGAUGGGAGCUUGCUCCCUGAUGUUAGCGGCGGACGGGUGAGUAACACGUGGGUAACCUGCCUGUAAGACUGGGAUAACUCCGGGAAACCGGGGCUAAUACCGGAUGGUUGUUUGAACCGCAUGGUUCAGACAUAAAAGGUGGCUUCGGCUACCACUUACAGAUGGACCCGCGGCGCAUUAGCUAGUUGGUGAGGUAACGGCUCACCAAGGCGACGAUGCGUAGCCGACCUGAGAGGGUGAUCGGCCACACUGGGACUGAGACACGGCCCAGACUCCUACGGGAGGCAGCAGUAGGGAAUCUUCCGCAAUGGACGAAAGUCUGACGGAGCAACGCCGCGUGAGUGAUGAAGGUUUUCGGAUCGUAAAGCUCUGUUGUUAGGGAAGAACAAGUGCCGUUCAAAUAGGGCGGCACCUUGACGGUACCUAACCAGAAAGCCACGGCUAACUACGUGCCAGCAGCCGCGGUAAUACGUAGGUGGCAAGCGUUGUCCGGAAUUAUUGGGCGUAAAGGGCUCGCAGGCGGUUUCUUAAGUCUGAUGUGAAAGCCCCCGGCUCAACCGGGGAGGGUCAUUGGAAACUGGGGAACUUGAGUGCAGAAGAGGAGAGUGGAAUUCCACGUGUAGCGGUGAAAUGCGUAGAGAUGUGGAGGAACACCAGUGGCGAAGGCGACUCUCUGGUCUGUAACUGACGCUGAGGAGCGAAAGCGU